rnacentral:rRNA from 1 species
CCCUUAGAUGUUCUGGGCCGCACGCGUGCUACACUGAGUGGAUCAGCGGGUCAGGUUGCGCGAAAGUGUUUCCUAAUCUUUAAAUCCGCUCGUGAUGGGGAUUGACGGUUGCAAUUUUCCGUCAUGAACGAGGAAUACCUUGUAAGCGCGGGUCAUCAUCCCGCGCUGAAUACGUCCCUGCCCUUUGUACACACCGCCCGUCGCUCCUACCGAUUAAGUGGUCCGGUGAGGCUUUGGGAUCUGGGCGGAAAGAGCGUUUCGCUGUUUCUGCCCGGAAAACUCAGUCGAACCUUAUCAUUUAGAGGAAGGAGAAGUCGUAACA